CCUACGGGGGGCAGCAGUGAGGAAUAUUGGUCAAUGGACGAGAGUCUGAACCAGCCAAGUAGCGUGAAGGAUGAAGGCCCUAUGGGUGGUAAACUGCAGGUAUAAAGGAAUAAAACGAGGCACGUGUGCCUUUUUGCAUGUACUUUAUGAAUAAGGAUAGGCUAACUCCGUGCCAGCAGCCGCGGUAAUACGGAGGAUCCGAGCGUUAUCCGGAUUGAUUGGGGUUAACGGGAGCGUAGAUGGGUUGUUAAGUCAGUUGUGAAAGUUUGCGGCGCCACCGUAAAAUUGCUCUUGAUACUGGCAGUCUUGAGUACAGUUGAGGUAGGCGGAAUUCGUGGUGUAGCGGU
rnacentral:rRNA from 1 species